rnacentral:misc_RNA from 1 species
CUCUCUCAAACCUUUGGGUUUGGUAGUGAGUGAUACUCGUCUCGGGCUUAACUUGAAAGUGGCUAACCGUUGCCAUCUGCGUGAGCAGGCUGCGUGUCAAGUCUAUGGACUCGACUCUUGCACAUCUACGUCUUAAGUAUGCGCCAAUUCGUGGUAAGCUUGGGUCAUAGAGACUCAUAGGUGUUAUAAAGACUCGCUGGUGUUUGUCUCCUUGAGGCAUACGGCUUUACAACUCUCAAG